rnacentral:lncRNA from 13 species
CGACACCGAGUGGGCGUGGCCUGGAGGCAGAGGGCUGGACUCAAAGACCUCUGGGUGUCCCCCCACCCCCAGCCCCGCCCGGGCCUGAGCCCCUCCAAGGCCUUGCUGCUGACAGAGUCAGACAGCUGUCCAGAGCCAUGUGUAAAAAUACAUCUGCGCACACACGGGGGGUGUCCGUCUGCACAGAAACGUACACGCCAGGCCGGCGCAGGGCUGCCUGUGGGGCGGAGGGACCCCAACUUCCCACGGCCUGUGUACCUGCCUUCACCACAAGCACAUAUUCCUGCUACUAUAUUAUUAACAUCACAACUGAAAAAUGAAAAUCUUGUUUGGAAAGGUCUCCUCCGUCCGCGGCGUGUGAGAAGUCCAUGCGGCUGGAGAGGGAGCCAGGCCGUCUGCCUGGAGGAGGGGCUCCAAGCAGUCAAGAGAAGCCCCUGGAGCAAGGCCAAGGGACCCGGGAGUGAACGUGAACGUGGGGAGGGCUCUGGCCACGGGGCAGCGGCCCAAGCCCACCGUUCCCCGCCGCGGCACUCGGGGGCCGUCCCGCCAGGACCGAGCUCGCCAGCGCCCCAGGACACUCAGUCCGAGGGGCCAGCCCCAGCUCCCUCCAGCCCCCCGGCCUCUGGGACGGGCGGGCGGGCAGGACCUCCAGGGCCCACCCAAGGCAGGAAGCAGUUCCGGGGCCCCGGAGGGUCACGCUCCUUUGUGGCCUGGGUACCCCGCCAGCACAGGCAACUUUCUGUCCGUGGGAAACGUCUCCUUCCGGGGCCCUCCCACGAACGCGAAGGCCGGCCGGGGCGAGCCGUUCUCCCAACCCCGGGCACCUCCGUGGGGAGCCCCAGCCCCAGGCCCCGCAGCGCCCUCCUCCCGGGCCCCGGCCUCCCCAAGGUCAUGCGGGAGGCCGGGGCCGGCAACCUGCACCCCCGCGCCCGGCGCGAAGCCGCCCUCCCGCGGCCGGGCCCGCGCGCCCUCCCCGCCCAGGCCGCUCGGCCACUUCCUGCUCCGGCUCCUCCGUUCCGGCGGCGCCGCGGCCCGAGCGGCCGCGAACAAAGCAGCCCGGCCCGCGGGGAGGAAAUCCGGGCCCCGGGCGGCCGCGGCGGGAGGGCACUCACCGGGCCGCCGUGUCCGGGCGCGAGCGCGGGCCUAGCCGGGCCGCGGCCUCCGGCGCCCGCCGCUCCGCAUCCCCGCGGGCCGGGCUGGGCGGGGCCGGGCUGGAGGCCGCGGCGGGCGGGUGUUGCUCGAGGCCGGGCCUCGCGUGCCGCCGCCGCCCGGUGCCCGGUGCCCGGUGCCCGGCGCUCGGUGCUCGGCCGCUGCUCGCGUCCUCCGGGCCGCGCUGGCUGCGCUGGGCCGGCCGCCCGCCGCGCUCGGUCCCGCCGCCGCCGGCCCGCCCUCUCCCCGCCCCACGCCGGAGCCGCCCGCCCACAUCCGCCUCCGCCGCCCGGGGGGCCCCCGCCGCGCGGCCCGCGGCCAAGGCGGAGUGCGCCCGGGGAGCGCGCGGCCCCUGCGUCCUGGGGCCCGGGGUCCGGGGCCUGGGCUGGGCCGCUAAGGGAGCCGGCCACCAGCCAGCCCGUCCGGGGCCACGCCCUCUCUGGCCUCAGUUUCCCUAGCUGUAAAGUGACCCGGCGCUUCUGGGCUCACUCUGCCCUGACCCCACUAGAACAGGCCCGAGACCGGUCAGGGAGGAAUCCCGGACUUCGGCCUCACUGCCGGGGUGGAUUAGGUUGA